rnacentral:rRNA from 1 species
UACGAAGGGGGCGAGCGUUGUUCGGAUUUACUGGGCGUAAAGGGCGCGUAGGCGGCGCCGGAAGUCAGGCGUGAAAGCCCCCGGGCUCAACCUGGGAGGUGCGCUUGGGACUCCGGUGCUGGAGUUCGGGGAGAGGAGAGUGGAAUUCCCAGUGUAGAGGUGAAAAUUCGUAGAUAUUGGGAAGAACACCGGUGGCGAAGGCGGCUCUCUGGACCGAGACUGACGCUGAGGCGCGAAAAGCGUGGGGGAGCAAAACAGG